rnacentral:rRNA from 1 species
UACGGGGGGGGGCAAGCGUUGUUCGGAAUUACUGGGCGUAAAGGGCUCGUAGGCGGCCAACUAAGUCGGACGUGAAAUCCCUCGGCUUAACCGGGGAACUGCGUCCGAUACUGGAUGGCUUGAGUUUGGGAGAGGGAUGCGGAAUUCCAGGUGUAGCGGUGAAAUGCGUAGAUAUCUGGAGGAACACCGGUGGCGAAGGCGGCAUCCUGGACCAACACUGACGCUGAUGAGCGAAAAGCCAGGGGGAGCGAAUAGGG